rnacentral:rRNA from 1 species
UACGAAGGUGGCAAGCGUUGUUCGGAAUCACUGGGCUUAAAGCGCACGCAGGCGGAGCAGCAAGUGCUUUGUGAAAUCCCUCGGCUUAACCGAGGAAUUGCUUGGCAAACUGCUAUUCUUGAGGCAAGCAGGGGUGUGUGGAACUCUUGGUGGAGCGGUGGAAUGCGUAGAUAUCAAGAGGAACGCCGAAGGUGAAGACAGCACACUGGGCUUGUCCUGACGCUGAGGUGCGAAAGCGUGGGGAGCAAACGGG